rnacentral:lncRNA from 1 species
UUCUCCUGCAACAAAGUGGGGAAACCAAGAGAUUAUUCAUGCAUGGUUCUCCACCAUGCCAGUAAGCAGAAUUUAGGGGACCAGUGUUUCAGAUGCAUGUCAGUUUGGCUUGUUUUCUUAAUUGGGUCAAACUGUUGGACAACAAUUGGACUGAAACAAGGAGACUUCAAUUUCAUAUUCCUUUGAUGGCACUCAAUCAAAUGGAUCAACACAUUUGCUGGAGGUACU